UUAAGAUAUUUUUGAUGAAAUAUGAGAGCUUUCGUGGUACUCUCUAUAAUGGAGGAUGGUGACUUGGAGGAGAAGUCAAGAAUAAAGUCGUUAUUUUUGUUUUCUUUGCACAAAAAGUAUUCUCGUAGCUUAGUAAAAGUAUUCUCGUCACAUGGACUAUUUUACAGAUGUCCUUACUAAUGUUUCUGGACCUGGGAACAUUUCAGUUACAUUGCUGAAUGUAACUGUCAGAGGUCAGAAAGCUCUCGGAUUUAAUAAAAAAUGAAGCGUUAGUGUUAGUUCUGGCAGGUCACGUGAGUCAAGCUUGCAUCAGCUGAUCGUAUCUACCUAUAGGAAUACAACACCUAUCGCGGCAUUCCUAUAUAAGCUCUCUUCUGUAUCAAUCAGCAGCUUUUUCCGCUUGCUCAGGAGCGAAUCAGACGGCGAAUUCCAUCUCUAUGAGAAAGCUUUCAGUCAGGAAUUUUCAGGGGUUCGUUUCCCACGGAGUUCUCACCAGAUUCAACAAGUUUUUGAACUUGAACACGAAUUCGCUGCGAUUGAUAUAAGCUGAUAGAAUCGGAAGUGACCUGAGCAAGUACUACUUCUCUGUUUUUAAUAUGUUGUUUAAGGCUGUCUGAUAUGAAACAGGUUGCUACUUAAGACUCAUCUAGUAUUGGGAAUUCUAUUUCAUUAAACUUAUCCUAUUUUUAUUUCUAUUUGAUAUGCUGUUGCUUUAAUCAGUGUGCUUGAUACUUAACGGGCAGUAUGUAGAUUUUGCUACCAAAGGUUAUUAAUGCUAACGAUUAUCUGGAUAAGGGCAACAUGCUGUUGCCUAAACGUCGGGUAUUGACCAUAUGCUGUACUGCAUUAAAGGGGCAUGCUGCUCUUCUCAGUUGCUGAUUAAAGAAGAGCACCCCUUCGCUGCUUCUCUUCUUCUUAAAGGGCAUGCUGCCGCAGUCUACGCGGUUUCAGAAGGUCUUUGCUUUAAAGCUGUUAGGGUAUUGGGAUUUUGCUUGCUUUUAGGGCUUAUCUAGUAAUCAGUAUCAUGUUUGUUGCUAGACCUGCUUCUUUCUUUAAGCUAUUGGUUGUGGUACUUGGUAAAUUUGCAACAGCAAGAAGCUAAUAUUUAACCUGUUGUUAGGCCAUCUGAUUGCCAUCUCGAAAUAUGCUUGCUGCUUAUGGCUCAUCUAGUUAUUGGGACUGCCAUUUCCUUAAGUUUCUCUGACUACUGCAACAUGCUUGUUGCAAAGCUGUCAAGUGCAUUGGUCUUCACUCACGUGGGUUGUCAGAUUGAAGACACAUAACAUAACGAGCGCAAUGCCAAUGGGAGACGACAACCUGUAAACUGAUGAGUUGAUUUGAGUUAUUAUGCUGUUUCUAUAGAGUUUUUAAAUGGAUGCUGAAGCUUUUAGGCCAGGUAGAAUAUGCGAUCUCUCUCUCUCUCUCUCUCUCUCUCUCUCUCUCUCUCUCUCUCUCUCUCUCUCUCUCUCUCUCUCUGAACCGUUCAUUGCUCGCUUCUAUGGCUGCAGUACGUUUGUUUGCUGCAAAUUAGGCUGUCUUUUUUAGUGAGUCAAUUAGCUGUCAAUUUUUCUGCAUCUUUUUCAGGUAUUGCAUAAAAGGGGCUUGCUGCUCUGGGGGGUUAUUGUUGCUCUCCCUGCUCAUUCAUGACAGGCUGCAUGGAUGGGCAGGGAGUUUUUGCACAGAACAGAACCAUACCGCCAAACCAAAACUUUAUGCUAAGUAUCUAUCUUUUGACGAUAGUGGUCCUGACAGAAAUAUAUUAAUUUGUGUUCUGAAGAUGAAUGAAGGUCUUACAGGUUGGGAACGACAUGAAGGGUGAGUCAUUAAUGACAGAAUUUUCAUUUUUGGGUGAACUAUCCAUUUAAAGUAUUAGUUAGCCCAGAAAAGCACAUUUGCCAUUAAUUUACUCUCUGUCUCUGGCCAUUCAAGAAGUAGCUGAUGUUCCUUCUUCAGUAGAACAAAAGAUAAUUUUUAGCUGAACUCAUGGUCCUUGGUGAUUCAUAAAAUGCAGCUCAACGGGUGCCAUCGCUUUGCGAGUCAAAAAACAUAAACAAGCAACACAAAAUUAAUACCCAUGGUGGCACAGAAAUCUUGAGCUCCAGACUCUGGUUUUCCUGGUCAUAAUGUUAUAAUGUGCUGUCUGUAUCUGCUUUUUGACUUACAAAUUGGUGGCACCUGUUGACUUGAAGUUUAUGAAUCAUCAAGAAACACGACUUCAGUUAAAAAAUCAUCUUUAGUGUUCUACUAAAGAAAGAAAGUAGCUUACAUCUUGGUUGGCUGAAGGGUGAGUAAACGUCAACCUGAAGAACCAGAAAUAAAGUUAAUCCCACAGGAAAAGUGUCUGAAGUACUGCGUCAGCUCUUCAGGAUAUGUGACACUUCAGGAAAUAUUAACAUCCAUGCUGCUGUCAGUGAUGUCCACGAUGAGCUGCUGUCCUCCGUGCUCCCUCCGCCUAUCUGCUUGAGGAUGACUCCAACGUUCUCAAGAUGGGGGAUGUAGAACAAUCUGAUGAACCAGACGCUGAAGAUUUAUCACUUCGUCUCCUCUCCAUUAGUGAAAAUUCAACAGUUGCCAUGUUCUUCUGCUCAGAGAAGACUGAAGUUGCAUUUUGGGUAACAUAAAUAACGAUUUCCCCGUAUUGGCUCGUGCAUUUGUCAUGCUUUUUGGACUAACUUACACCUUGGAUCUAAAUUCCCCAAAAGAGUUGGACAAUACAUUUGACUUUACCUGGAAAGUCUUGAUGGGUCUGGAGGAUGGGAAGCUGAGACCCAGAGCGUUGAGUCUUAAAAAUGGACUUUUGUCAGUAGAGUUUCCUCAGUGUUUUAACAAAGUUACUCCUUUAUUUGACAUUUCAUUUAAACUUUCACUUCUGUCACUUUUAGUGAAUUGUGUAUUUGUAUUUUUUUUUUUUUUUUUUAAACAAUAUUUGUCUAGUAUUUAAUUAGCAGAACAUUUUCUCAGUUGAUUUUCUGGAGUGGUAUACAUUCCAUAUACAGUACCAUGUUCAUCCACUCAUAGAAAUAACAGUUUAAAAAAAAAACAUUGCUCUAUUUUGAAAUUUUUCAAAAUAUAAGUUUCAAAGUAUAAGUUUUAUAUUUCUAAAGUUACUGUUAGAUGUGAAUUUUGGAAGUGUUCCUGUUUUAGGGAAAUGUUUACAGCUGAGUGAUAUCCAGAUAUCCAUAUUGUCCACUUCUAAAAGUGACAGUUACUAUCUCAGCUCAUUUUUCAAGGACCUUGCACUGUUUUGGAGAAUGUAUUUCCAUUUGAUGUUGAACAAUUUAAUGUUGAUGUUUUGUUAAUGA